AGGCACGAAACCUUCACAAUGCACGAAAGUGUGAUGAGGUCAUCCCGAGUCCUAGGCUUACGUCUAGGUUUUCUGAAGUGUUAAAAGCUUCAGGAAUAAGGAGGGGGCAAGAACGGUGCCAGCCGCCGCGGUAAAACCGUCUCUUCGAGUGGCCACCGCGUUUACUGGGCUUAAAGCGUGCGUAGCGGGAUUAGUCCGUCCCACAUUAAAGACGGCUUCUUAAGAGUCCGAAGUGUGUGGGAAACAGCUAAUCUUGGCAAUGGGAUAGGGGCUCGGUACCCGUGGUGUAAAGGUGAAAUUUUAUAAUCCCACGGGGACCACCGAUGGCGAAGGCAGAGCCCUGGAACAUGUGCGACCGUCAGGCACGAAAGGGUGGGUAGCGAGCCGGAUUAGAUACCCGGGUAGUCCACCCCGUAAACGAUGCGGAUUAAGUGUAUGGGAAGCGAAUGCUUUCCAUGUGCCGUAGGGAAACCGUUAAAUCCGCCGCCUGGGAAGUACGCUCGCAAGAGUGAAACUUAAAGCAAUUGGCGGGAGAGCGCCACAAUGGGUGGAGCCUGCGGCUUAAUUGGACUCAACGCCGGAAAACUCACCAGAGUCUUCUAUCCGAUGCCAACCAGCUUGAAGAGCUUGUUGAAAGGAUGAAAGGGAAGUGCAUGGCCGUCUCCAGCUCGUGCCGUGAGGUGUCCUGUUAAGUCAGGCAACGAGCGAGAUCUCCGGGAAUACUUACCAGCGGAACCUACCGGUUGCCGGGCACAGUAUUCCGACUGCCACUGCUAAAGUGGAGGAAGGUGGAGGCCAAGGCAGGUCAGUAUGCUCCUAAUACUCUGGGCCGCACGCGGGCUACAAUGCUACGGACAACGGGAUCCUACUCCGAAAGGCGACGGAAAUCUCUAAACCGUAGCUCAGUUGGGAUUGCGGGCUGCAACUGCCCGCAUGAACUUGGAAUCCAUAGUAAUCGUGCGUCAUCAUCGCACGGUGAAUACUGUCCCCUCUCUUUGCACACACCGCCCGUCGCAGCACGCGAGAUGGUCAAGUGAGAGGCUUAAACCUUGUGUUUAUGUCAAUCAUAGGGUCAUUGAGUGGGCUGAAGUCGUAACAAGGUAGCCGUACUGGAAGGUGCGGCUGGAUCACCUCCUAUGGAAUCGUAAGAGAGUUUCAAACUCUCUCUUACAUAUUCUUUCUCUAUUUGAGAGAAAAAACGUCAUGCUUACGAAAAGCACAACGACAAAGAUAUAUUCUAAUGUCAACAAAUAA
rnacentral:rRNA from 1 species